AUGGCUCAGAACGAACGCUGGUGGCGUGUCUAUACAUGCAAGUCGAGCGAGGCAGCAAUGCCGAGCGGCGAACGGGUGAGUAACGCGUAAGCAAUCUGCCCCAUAUCAGGAAAUACCCGUGCCAACGCGCGGUUAAUGUCCAGGAGAGUGGCCCUCUGCAUGGAGGGUUGACUAGAGAUUUAUCGGUAUGGGAUGAGCUUGCGUCCGAUUAGCUAGUUGGCGGGGCAACGGCCCACCAAGGCGACGAUCGGUAGCCGGCCUGAGAGGGUGAUCGGCCACAUUGGGACUGAGAUACGGCCCAGACUCCUACGGGAGGCAGCAGUAGGGAAUAUUGCACAAUGGGGGAAACCCGUGAUGCAGCAACGCCACGUGUGGGAAGAAGCAUUUCGGUGUGUAAACCACUGUCAUGAGGGAAUAAGGCCUUAUUCGUAAGGGACGUUGAAUGUACCUUGAGAGGAAGCACCGGCAAACUUCGUGCCAGCCGCGGC
rnacentral:rRNA from 1 species